UACGUAGGUGGCAAGCGUUGUCCGGAUUUACUGGGCGUAAAGGGCGUGCAGGCGGUUUGUUAAGUCUAGGGUGAAAGCUCCCGGCUCAACUGGGAGAGGUCCUUGGAUACUGGCGAACUUGAGGGAUGCAGAGGAAAGUGGAAUUCCCGGUGUAGUGGUGAUAUGCGUAGAUAUCGGGAGGAACACCUGUGGCGAAGGCGGCUUUCUGGGCCUUACCUGACGCUGAGACGCGAAAGCGUGGGGAGCGAACCGG
rnacentral:rRNA from 1 species